UACAGAGGGGGCAAGCGUUGUUCGGAAUUACUGGGCGUAAAGGGCUCGUAGGCGGCCAACUAAGUCAUACGUGAAAUCCCUCAGCUUAACUGGGGAACUGCGUGUGAUACUGGAUGGCUUGGAUUUGGGAGAGGGAUGCGGAAUUCCAGGUGUAGCGGUGAAAUGCGUAGAUAUCUGGAGGAACACCGGUGGCGAAGCGGCAUCCUGGACCAAUAUUGACGCUGAGGAGCGAAAGCCAGGGG
rnacentral:rRNA from 1 species